GAAGAUUAGGGAAUGCAGAAUAAGGAACAUCCAUCAUGUUGGGUUCAUUGACCCACAAAUCGUUAAUGGAUAUGUGUUAGAAAAACACCCCGCCGACGUGGAGCAUGACCUGUGGUUUUUUCUUACAAAGCAGCAACUCAAAAGUUCCACUGGAUUCUGCUAGUAAUUCAAUUUCACACCUCCUCAGUUCUCGUCAUCGACUCCCUGAAUAUGGAUCCAAAGCUUUGGGUCGACAUGAGAAGAAUGAUGCAAAAGAUUUGGAGACGGUUUGCAGAUGAAAAGGUCGGUGAAUUCAAAAAAGAGCUAGAAUUUAAAAGGUCAGUGACUGGGGAUAUUCAGCCACCGGGGACCAAUCUAUGUGGAUACUAUAUUUGUGAGAUGAUCCGGAGAUACACCUCUGAGCGGCAGCCGUAUGAUAACAACGUCAAGAGGAAUAACCUCUGGAAGACGCUUAGUCCAGAAGCUCGCUUCCGACCACUUCAAGAGGAACUAGCAGGAUGGUUAAUGAGGGAAGUCCUCCAUCCUAAAGGAGAACACUAUUACGAGGUAGAACUGUGGAUGAAGUAAAUUAUGUAUGGAAACUUGUUCAAAAUUGUAUAUGG